rnacentral:lncRNA from 1 species
AACACUGCAUCAACCCAACACCUCAGCCUCCAUGGUAAUCUCUCAUUCAACCUCUCAAUCUCCGUUCUCGAUCCAUACACAAUCUUCGGUCCCCACUCUCUCAUAUAACCAAGCCACGGCGGCUCCACCACCCCCCCUCCGAGAUACUCAACCAAGCCACGGCGGCUCCACCACCGCCCCUCCGAGAUACUCUGCCGCAACAACCUCGUACUUGGAACACGAAUCCACAAACAAAUCGCUUCUUGCUGUAUCGUUCCUUAUCCCAAUCCCAAGCAAAUCUGACCC